AGAAUUUGAUCAUGGCUCAGAUUGAACGCUGGCGGCAGGCCUAACACAUGCAAGUCGAGCGGUAGAGAGAAGCUUGCUUCUCUUGAGAGCGGCGGACGGGUGAGUAAUGCCUAGGAAUCUGCCUGGUAGUGGGGGAUAACGUUCGGAAACGGACGCUAAUACCGCAUACGUCCUACGGGAGAAAGCAGGGGACCUUCGGGCCUUGCGCUAUCAGAUGAGCCUAGGUCGGAUUAGCUAGUUGGUGAGGUAAUGGCUCACCAAGGCGACGAUCCGUAACUGGUCUGAGAGGAUGAUCAGUCACACUGGAACUGGGACACGGUCCAGACUCCUACGGGAGGCAGCAGUGGGGAAUAUUGGACAAUGGGCGAAAGCCUGAUCCAGCCAUGCCGCGUGUGUGAAGAAGGUCUUCGGAUUGUAAAGCACUUUAAGUUGGGAGGAAGGGUUGUAGAUUAAUACUCUGCAAUUUUGACGUUACCGACAGAAUAAGCACCGGCUAACUCUGUGCCAGCAGCCGCGGUAAUACAGAGGGUGCAAGCGUUAAUCGGAAUUACUGGGCGUAAAGCGCGCGUAGGUGGUUUGUUAAGUUGGAUGUGAAAUCCCCGGGCUCAACCUGGGAACUGCAUUCAAAACUGACUGACUAGAGUAUGGUAGAGGGUGGUGGAAUUUCCUGUGUAGCGGUGAAAUGCGUAGAUAUAGGAAGGAACACCAGUGGCGAAGGCGACCACCUGGACUAAUACUGACACUGAGGUGCGAAAGCG
rnacentral:rRNA from 1 species